AGCGAACGCUGGCGGCAGGCCUAACACAUGCAAGUCGAACGAACCCUUCGGGGUUAGUGGCGGACGGGUGAGUAACACGUGGGAACGUGCCUUUAGGUUCGGAAUAACUCAGGGAAACUUGAGCUAAUACCGUAUGUGCCCUUCGGGGAAAAGAUUUAUCGCCAUUGGAGCGGCCCGCGUCUGAUUAGCUAGUUGGUGAGGUAAUGGCUCACCAAGGCUACGAUCAGUAGCUGGUCUGAGAGGAUGACCAGCCACAUUGGGACUGAGACACGGCCCAAACUCCUACGGGAGGCAGCAGUGGGGAAUCUUGCGCAAUGGGCGAAAGCCUGACGCAGCCAUGCCGCGUGGAUGAUGAAGGUCUUAGGAUUGUAAAAUCCUUUCACCGGUGAAGAUAAUGACUGUAGCCGGAGAAGAAGCCCCGGCUAACUUCGUGCCAGCCGCCGCAGUAACAC
rnacentral:rRNA from 1 species